AUUAAAAUAGAUUAGCCAAGCAUUCCGACUCCAACAGAGCUUCCAUCUCCGAAGGCCACUCCUCUAUCCAAACCAGAUCUUCUUGCAGACUCCUUACAUGGGUAGGCAACGAAUUUAUUGCAAAACGAAUUAUAACCCCAGUUUCCGAUAGGUCUUCCACCUCCCGUUGAAGAAGGCGAAAACCCCACGUGGAAUCAAUAUCCAGCUGAAGAUUGUGCAAACCGGCCUCCGUCGCCAGCCGAAGCCCUCUGCCGCCGCAUGCGCUUCCGUUUCAUCCACCGUUAGAACAUUUUCCAGGAAUAAAGUAUCGGGAGGAAACGAGACAUAUUUGUAUCAAAAUGAGAGAAAAAUCAUAAUCAAAGUGACCAAGAUGGAAUAACAACAAUAUUUGAAGCCAAAAACCCGAGAAGAUAGCGCCACGGUGCUCCGAAGUUUAAAUUUCGCGUUUUGUGAAUAGCGUAGCGCCAUGGCUCUGUGUGUAGUGCCAUGACACUACCGCGACAACUUUUUAUAAAAAUAGGGUUGUGCAGCCGUCGAGAUGGAGGAGUUUGGAAGGGGACGGACAAACGUCGAACAUAGUUUCUUCUCCUUUCCCUUGAUUUUUCUAGUUUUGUUAUGGAACUCUCAUUGAGAUUUUAUUGUUUUACAUUGGAUGUGAGUAGUUAAACCUCUUAUCUUAGGGAUUGAUGUUGCACCUCUGCUUGAUAGCAUGAGGGUAAGUGCAAGUGUGAUAGUGUACUUUAUACACCACAUUUCAUGAUAUUCAGGUGGAAAUUAUUUAACAAUUUCCGGUCAUUUAUGGCUUAUUUACAUGCAUAGCUGAUGUUUUUAUAGGAUCAAGCCAUUAGAAAGAAUUGGAGCAUAAGCAAUCAAUUGAGAGGAAAGCUAGAGUGAAAAAGAGGAGCUUAAUUCAGCCACAUCAGCGUCGCAGCGCCAUCAUGUAGUGCCAUGGCACCUGCAGAUCAGAAUUGAGAGCAAAUUUCCGAAGAAGCAGAGCCACAGCGCCAGUACACAGCGUCAUGGCGCCUGCAGACAAAGCUUGGGCCUCUUUCCGUGAUGACAGCGCCGCAACGAUGUCUUGUAGCGCCACGGCGCUACGAACUUGCUAGUCUAUCACAAUUUUGGGACAGUGCCAUGGUGCUCACUAAUGGCGCCAUAGCGCUGUAGCGAUGGCCUUACAUGAGUAAAAUAUGAAUGCGUCGUUUUUUAGGAUUUUUGGGGAUUCUCACAUUGGAGAAUUGGAGUUUGGAAGAGGUUUUUUGGCAGUUUGCAUUUUUGGUCAAUUUGGAGGGCAAUGAGACCAUUGGAGAUCAGAGCUUAGAAAAGUGAAUUUCAAGGCUCGGGAUCGUGGAGGUUGCUUCGGGAACGAACGAUUGACACGCGGAACAUAGUUUCUUCUCCUUUCCCUUGGUUUUUCUAGUUUUGUUAUGGACUUCUCAUUGUGAUUUUAUUGUUUUCCAUUGAAUAUGAGAAGCUAAAUCUCUUAUCUUAGGGAUUGAUGUAGCCAUUAAACUUUAUGCAUUGAUUGUUUAGUUUU